CCCCCUGGAGCAGCUCCUUAACUUCUUACUUCCCAGAAGUGUUUGCCUGAGGCAGCCCAAGUGAAAAUGGCCAGGAUAGAGUGCCUGACUCAUCAUCCAGAAUAAGCAAAAGUAAAGAGCCUGGGAAUUUAGAAACAGGACGUAAGUGGAAGUUUCCAGUGUGGAUGUCAUUUGGUUUGGAACACAUUUUCUUAGGAAAAGCAGAAGGUUGUGAUGGAAGAAACUAAGGAUCUUGGAAUUGGAUAGACCUAUUCCCAUCUUCUCUAACUUCAAAGUACUGCAAGUAAGUUGUUUCUUCUUUUUAAUUUAAUUUAAUUGAUUUAUUUAAUUUUGAGACAUUGGCUCCUUGCCACCUUUGCCUCCUGGGUUCAAGGAAUUCUCCUGCCUCAACCACCU
rnacentral:lncRNA from 1 species